rnacentral:misc_RNA from 1 species
CACAUUGGCGCCCAAUGUGGAGGAGUACAAUGCAACAGCGGCAAAGUUAGUUGCUUCGGGCUCAGGACACUUGAUAAAGGGGAUUUUGUGGUGUGGAGAUGUUACUGCAGAUAGAUUGAAGUGGGGGAAUGAGGUUCUGAAGAAUAGGUUUAAGACAGGUUCGAAGACUGAGGUCAGUCCUGAGACGUUGAAGAGGAUCAAAAGGGUUAAGAGAGUGACAAAAAUGACAGAGAAAGUGGCAGUUGGAGUCCUAUCUGGAGCUGUGAAGGUUUCAGGAUUCUUUACUAGGUCCCUUGCAAAUACCAAAGCAGGAAAAAAGUUCUUUAGCCUCCUUCCAGGGGAAAUGGUUCUUGCCACUCUUGAUGGAUUUAGCAGAAUAUGUGAUGCUGUUGAAGUAGCUGG